rnacentral:rRNA from 1 species
GACAGAGGUCCCGAGCGUUAGGCGGAAUCACUGGGCUUAAAGCGUGUGUAGGCGGAGUUCUAAGUACCUUGUGAAAUCCCACGGCUCAACCGUGGAACUGCUUGGUAUACUGGUUCUCUUGAGCCACCUAGGGGCAACCGGAACAAACGGUGGAGCGGUGAAAUGCGUAGAUAUCGUUUGGAACGCCAAUGGUGAAAACAGGUUGCUGGGGGUGUGCUGACGCUGAGACACGAAAGCCAGGGGAGCAUACGGG